rnacentral:rRNA from 1 species
UACAGAGACUGCAAGCGUUAUUCGGAUUCACUGGGCGUAAAGGGUGCGCAGGCGGCCGUGUGUGUGAGGCGUGAAAGCCCGGGGCUUAACCCCGGAAUUGCACCUCAAACUACAUUGCUAGAGCAUUGGAGAGGGUAGCGGAAUUCACGGUGUAGCAGUGAAAUGCGUAGAUAUCGUGAGGAACACCAGAGGCGAAGGCGGCUACCUGGACAAUUGCUGACGCUCAGGCACGAAAGCGUGGGGAGCAAAAGGG